rnacentral:lncRNA from 1 species
AGCUAAAAUUCAUUAAAAAUAAGUUAUAAUAAAAGAUUCAAUUUCGUUAUUCAUCAAGUAAAUAAAUCAACAUUGGUCAGAGCGAAUAAAUCCAAAAGAUAAUCUCGAAUCUAUGUUUAAAAUUAGUAGUUGAUUAUAAGUUCAUAAUAAUCCUAUAAAUUUAAUUUCAAUUGCAAAUCUCUAUGCUCACUGGCAUAGACCCUCUAGCC